AGUGAACGCUGGCGGCGUGGAUUGGGCAUGCAAGUCGAGCGAUUCUUUUUUAGAGUCUGCAAGUUUACACUAGUAAAAAUGCAGAAACUUUUAAAGAAUAGCGGCAAACGGGUGAGUAACACGUGGGUAAUUUACCGCUAAGAUGGGAAUAGCCUCGCGAAAGCGUGGGUAAUGCCCAAUAUGACCACGAUUUGGCAUCAAGAUGUGGUAAAAGCAGGGGACCGUAAGGCCUUGUGUUUAGCGAUGAGCCCGCGACCUAUCAGCUAGUUGGUGAGGUAAUGGCCCACCAAGGCUAAGACGGGUAGCUGGUCUGAGAGGAUGGUCAGUCACACUGGGACUGAGACACUGCCCAGACUCCUACGGGAGGCUGCAGUCGAGAAUCUUUAGCAAUGGGCGAAAGCCUGACUAUGCGACGCCGCGUGAGGGAUGAAGGCCUUCGGGUUGUAAACCUCUUUCGAUUGGGAAGAACAUCCAUGACGAUAACAUUGUCAUGGACUGACGUUACCAAAUGAAGAAGCCACGGCCAACUCCGUGCCAGCAGCCGCGGUAAUACGGAGGUGGCAAGCGUUACUCGGAAUCACUGGGUGUAAAGGGCAGGUAGGUGUCUUAAUAAGUGGGAGGUGAAAUCCUUCGGCUCAACCGAAGAACAGCCUUUCAAACUGUUAGGAUUGAGUGUGAGAGAGGAAAGCGGAACUCUCGGUGUAAGGGUGAAAUCUGUAGAUAUCGAGAGGAACACCAGCAGCGAAGGCGGCUUUCUGGAUCAUUACUGACACUGAGCUGCGAAAGCUAGGGGAGCAAACAGGAUUAGAUACCCUGGUAGUCCUAGCCGUAAACGAUGAGUACUUGGUGUCCUGGUUCACGCCGGGGUGCCGAAGUUAACACGUUAAGUACUCCACCUGGGAACUACGGCCGCAAGGCUAAAACUCAAAGGAAUUGACGGGGGCCCGCACAAGCGGUGGAACAUGUGGUUCAAUUCGACGAUACGCGAAGAACCUCACCAGGGCUUGACAUAUAGGUAGUAGGAACCUGAAAGGGAGACGACUCGUCAAAUCGAGAGCCUAUACAGGUGUUGCAUGGCUGUCGUCAGCUCGUGUCGUGAGAUGUUGGGUUAAGUCCCGCAACGAGCGCAACCAUCAUUCUUAGUUGCCACUUGUUUUUUGGGAAACUGAGAAACAAAGCACUCUAAGAGGACUGCCUGCGAUAAGCAGGAGGAAGGUGGUGACGACGUC
rnacentral:rRNA from 1 species